rnacentral:rRNA from 1 species
AGAGAUGCAUUGGGCGUAAAGUGUGCGCAGGCGGUUUUGUAAGACAGAGGUGAAAUCCCCGGGCUCAACCUGGGAACUGCCUUUGUGACUGCAAGGCUGGAGUGCGGCAGAGGGGGAUGGAAUUCCGCGUGUAGCAGUGAAAUGCGUAGAUAUGCGGAGGAACACCGAUGGCGAAGGCAAUCCCCUGGGCCUGCACUGACGCUCAUGCACGAAAGCGUGGGGAGCAAACA